rnacentral:rRNA from 1 species
GACGAACGCUGGCGGCGUGCUUAACACAUGCAAGUCGAACGGAAAGGCCCUGCUCUUGUGGGGUGCUCGAGUGGCGAACGGGUGAGUAACACGUGAGUAACCUGCCCUUGACUUUGGGAUAACUUCAGGAAACUGGGGCUAAUACCGGAUAGGAGCUCCUGCUGCAUGGUGGGGGUUGGAAAGUUUCGGCGGUUGGGGAUGGACUCGCGGCUUAUCAGCUUGUUGGUGGGGUAGUGGCUUACCAAGGCUUUGACGGGUAGCCGGCCUGAGAGGGUGACCGGCCACAUUGGGACUGAGGUACGGCCCAGACGCCUACGGGAGGCAGCAGUGGGGAAUAGUGCACGAUGGGCGGAAGCCUGAUGCAGCAACGCCGCGUGCGGGAUGACGGCCUUCGGGGUGUAAACCGCUUUCGCCUGUGACGAAGCGUGAGUGACGGUAAUGGGUAAAGAAGCACCGGCUAACUACGUG